AAGGGCUAUAUCUUAGGCAAAGAUGCAGUCAACAAAGCAAAGACUUUGGAUGAGAAGCACCAAUUGACUUCAACAGCCUCAGCUAAAGUUAGUUCUUUUGACAAAAAAAUAGGCUUCACUGAGAAGAUCAGUGCUGGCACGACUAUUGUGGGUGACAAAGUCUGGGAAGUGGAUCAGAAAUUUCAGGUUUCAGAGAAAACUAAAUCAGCAUUUGCAG
rnacentral:misc_RNA from 1 species